GACGAACGCUGGCGGCGUGCUUAACACAUGCAAGUCGAACGGAAAGGCCCUUUGCUUGCCAGGGGUACUCGAGUGGCGAACGGGUGAGUAACACGUGGGUGAUCUGCCUUGCACUUCGGGAUAAGCCUGGGAAACUGGGUCUAAUACCGGAUAGGACCAUGCUUUAGUGUGUGUGGUGGAAAGUUUUUCGGUGCAAGAUGAGCCCGCGGCCUAUCAGCUUGUUGGUGGGGUAAUGGCCUACCAAGGCGACGACGGGUAGCCGGCCUGAGAGGGUGUACGGCCACAUUGGGACUGAGACACGGCCCAGACUCCUACGGGAGGCAGCAGUGGGGAAUAUUGCACAAUGGGCGCAAGCCUGAUGCAGCGACGCCGCGUGGGGGAUGACGGCCUUCGGGUUGUAAACUCCUUUCGCUAGGGAAGAAGCCUUUUGGUGACGGUACCUGGAUAAGAAGCACCGGCUAACUACGUG
rnacentral:rRNA from 1 species